rnacentral:rRNA from 1 species
GAAAUCUGGUGGCCUCAGGUCAUCCGAGUUGUAAUCUAUAGAAGUGUUUUCCGUGCUGGCUCAUGUACAAGUCCCUUGGAACAGGGCGUCAUAGAGGGUGAGAAUCCCGUCCUUGACAUGAACUACCAGUGCUCUGUGAUACAUUUUCAACGAGUCGAGUUGUUUGGGAAUGCAGCUCAAAAUGGGUGGUAAAUUCCAUCUAAAGCUAAAUAUUGGCGAGAGACCGAUAGCGAACAAGUACCGUGAGGGAAAGAUGAAAAGCACUUUGGAAAGAGAGUUAAACAGUAUGUGAAAUUGUUGAAAGGGAAACGAUUGAAGUCAGUCGUGCUCUUUGGAUUCAGCCGGUUCUGCCGGUGUACUUCCUUUGAGUGGGGUCAACAUCAGUUUUGAUCGCUGGAUAAAGGCAGGAGGAACGUAGUACCCUCGGGUAAACUUAUAGCCUCCUGUCACAUACAGUGGUUGGGACUGAGGAACGCAGCACGCCUUUAUGGCCGGGAUUCGUCCACGUACGUGCUUAGGAUGUUGACAUAAUGGMUUUAAACGACCCGUCUU